rnacentral:rRNA from 1 species
AAGCUUAACACAUGCAAGUCGAACGGAUUAUUCUUUAUAGCUUGCUAUGGAGGAUAAUUAGUGGCAGACGGGUGAGUAAUGCAUAGGAAUCUACCUAGUAGUAUGGGAUAGCCACUAGAAAUGGUGGGUAAUACUGUAUAAUCCCUGCGGGGGAAAGAUUUAUCGCUAUUAGAUGAGCCUAUGUUAGAUUAGCUAGUUGGUAGGGUAAAGGCCUACCAAGGCGAUGAUCUAUAGCUGGUCUGAGAGGAUGAUCAGCCACACUGGAACUGAGAUACGGUCCAGACUCCUACGGGAGGCAGCAGUGGGGAAUAUUGGACAAUGGGCGCAAGCCUGAUCCAGCUAUGCCGCGUGAGUGAGGAAGGCCUUAGGGUUGUAAAACUCUUUCAGUAGGGAAGAUAAUGACGGUACCUACAGAAGAAGUCCCGGCAAACUCCGUGCCAGCAGCCGCGGUAAU